rnacentral:rRNA from 1 species
AAGCUCGUAGUUGAAUUUCGGGAUUGGCAUAUCGGUCGUGCCCUCGGGCACGUACUGGUAGUUGUUAAUCUCCACCUUCUAGUGAACUAUUAUGCCUUUCACUAGGUGUAAUAGGGAGCUAGGACUGUUACUUUGAAAAAAUUAGAGUGUUUAAAGCAGGCUUUAAGCUUGAAUAGAUUAGCAUGGAAUAACGAAAUAGGACGGCAUGAUUCUAUUUUGUUGGUUUCUAGGAUCACCGUAAUGAUUAAUAGGGAUAGUUGGG